UGGGGCUGUAGUCGGUCCCAAGGGUAUGGCUGUUCGCCAUUUAAAGUGGUACGUGAGCUGGGUUUAAAACGUCGUGAGACAGUUUGGUCCCUAUCUGCAGUGGGCGUUGGAAGUUUGACGGGGGCUGCUCCUAGUACGAGAGGACCGGAGUGGACGAACCUCUGGUGUACCGGUUGUAACGCCAGUUGCAUAGCCGGGUAGCUAAGUUCGGAAGAGAUAAGCGCUGAAAGCAUCUAAGCGCGAAACUCGCCUGAAGAUGAGACUUCCCUUGUGGUUUAACCACACUAAAGAGUCGUUCGAGACCAGGACGUUGAUAGGUGGGGUGUGGAAGCGCGGUAACGCGUGAAGCUAACCCAUACUAAUUGCUCGUGAGGCUUGACUCU
rnacentral:rRNA from 1 species